rnacentral:rRNA from 1 species
UACAGAGGGUGCAAGCGUUGUUCGGAAUUACUGGGCGUAAAGCGUGCGUAGGCGGUAUUGAGAGUCAGGGGUGAAAUCCCAGGGCUUAACCCUGGAACUGCCUGUGAGACCUCAGGACUAGAGUGUGAGAGGGGAUAGUGGAAUACCCAGUGUAGCGGUGAAAUGCGUAGAGAUUGGGUGGAACACCGGUGGCGAAGGCGGCUAGCUGGCUCGCAACUGACGAUGAGGCACGAAAGCGUGGGGAGCAAACAGG